rnacentral:rRNA from 1 species
UACGGAGGAUGCGAGCGUUAUCCGGAUUUAUUGGGUUUAAAGGGUGCGUAGGCGGCCUUUUAAGUCAGCGGUGAAAGUCUGUGGCUCAACCAUAGAAUUGCCGUUGAAACUGGGAGGCUUGAGUAUGUUUGAGGCAGGCGGAAUGCGUGGUGUAGCGGUGAAAUGCUUAGAUAUCACGCAGAACCCCGAUUGCGAAGGCAGCCUGCCAAGCCAUGACUGACGCUGAUGCACGAAAGCGUGGGGAUCAAACAGG